GCCAAAUCGUGAAUUUACCCAAGAUGAACAUAACUCCACAAAAAUUAAUCCUAGUAAGUUAUUCAAGACAAAAAUUCUUGAGCAAAGACAUUUUAUCUCCACGUAACUAGUAAUCCCAGUCAGAAAAAUAAACCUAUCCUCCUGGGAUGGAGGGAGUAGUUAAAAAGAAAAAAUAACACAUGCUAGUAUAUAGAGUAAUCCAUUUCAGAUUGUCAAUUUCCAGAGAUUGGCAGCCAGAUUGACUAGUAUAAAUAAGUUUGAAUAAUGAAGUGCAACAAUGAAAAGUUUCCAACACAAUAACUUCUACACUAGGUUCACAAACAAGGAAAAGUACACAAAGGAGAACAGAUAAAAAAAAUUAUUGAUGCUUGCUUGGCUUAAUCUUAUGUAAUUUGCACAUCCACGUAAUACAAUUUUCCCCACAGUAUAAUGACCAAAACUGUCAAAGAAGCAAAUCAAAUUUUACAAUUGCUUUCUAAAUCCAAAAUUCUCCUCCAUCUUCCUUUAAAUUUCAUCAUUCUUUAUGAAUACAAGUUUUCUAAUUGCAAUGAAUAGG
rnacentral:misc_RNA from 1 species